rnacentral:rRNA from 1 species
GGGGCAGUAGGUUGUUCGUGCCACCGGUACGUACUGGUCUCACUGAUUCCUCCUUCCUGAAGAACCGUAAUGCCAUUAAUUUGGUGUUGCUGGGAAACAGGACUGUUACUUUGAAAAAAUUAGAGUGUUUAAAGCAAGCUAACGCUUGUAUACAUUAGCAUGGAAUAAUGAAAUAGGACGAUCGAUCCUAUUUUGUUGGUUUCUAGGAUUGACGUA